rnacentral:rRNA from 1 species
GAUGAACGCUGGCGGCGUGCCUAAUACAUGCAAGUCGAGCGAACAGACGAGGAGCUUGCUCCUCUGACGUUAGCGGCGGACGGGUGAGUAACACGUGGAUAACCUACCUAUAAGACUGGGAUAACUUCGGGAAACCGGAGCUAAUACCGGAUAAUAUAUUGAACCGCAUGGUUCAAUAGUGAAAGACGGUUUUGCUGUCACUUAUAGAUGGAUCCGCGCCGCAUUAGCUAGUUGGUAAGGUAACGGCUUACCAAGGCAACGAUGCGUAGCCGACCUGAGAGGGUGAUCGGCCACACGGGAACUGCAACGCGGUGCAGACUACUACGGGAGGCAGCAGUAGGGAAUCUUACGCAAUGGGCGAAAGCCUGACGGAGCAACGCCGCGUGAGUGAUGAAGGUCUUCGGAUCGUAAAACUCUGUUAUUAGGGAAGAACAAAUGUGUAAGUAACUAUGCACGUCUUGACGGUACCUAAUCAGAAAGCCACGGCUAACUACGUG